AACGAACGCUGGCGGCAUGCCUAACACAUGCAAGUCGAACGAGACCUUCGGGUCUAGUGGCGCACGGGUGCGUAACGCGUGGGAACCUGCCCUUAGGUUCGGAAUAACUCCCCGAAAGGGGUGCUAAUACCGGAUAAUGUCUUCGGACCAAAGAUUUAUCGCCUUUGGAUGGGCCCGCGUUGGAUUAGCUAGUUGGUAGGGUAAAAGCCUACCAAGGCGACGAUCCAUAGCUGGUCUGAGAGGAUGAUCAGCCACACUGGGACUGAGACACGGCCCAGACCCCUAGGGGAGGAAGCAGGGGGGAAAAUGGGAAAAUGGGCGAAAGCCUGAUCCAGAAAUGCCGGGGGAGGGAUGAAGGCCUUAGGGUUGUAAAGCUCUUUUCCCCGGGAUGAAAAUGACAGUACCGGGAGAAAAAGCCCCGGCUAACCCCGU
rnacentral:rRNA from 1 species